UCGGGAAUUUUGGGCAAUGGGCGAAAGCCUGAUGGAGCGACGUCGCGUGAUGGACGAAGUGCUUCGGCACGUAAACAUCUUUUAUGUGGGAUGAAAUUAUUGACAGUACCACAUGAAUAAGGGGCUCCUAACUCUGUGCCAGCAGGAGCGGUAAUACAGAGGCCCCAAGCGUUAUCCGGAAUCACUGGGCGUAAAGGGUGUCGAGGCGGUUGUAUUAGUCGUUCGUAAAAUCUACGAGCUUAACUUGUAGGCGGCGAACGAAACGGUACGACUUGAGGUUUGGAGAGGUGCGUGGAACUCACGGUGUAGGGGUGAAAUCCGUUGAUAUCGUGGGGAACACCAAAGGCGAAGGCAGCGCACUGGCCAAAAUCUGACGCUCACACACGAAAGCUAGGGUAGCGAAGAGGAUUAGAUACCCCUGUAGUCCCUGAGCGGGCUGGCAAGGCGCAU
rnacentral:rRNA from 1 species